ACAUCUGUGGACAGAGAAUUUACCAAAGCAACGUAUUCUGAUUCAGAGCAGAGCCCCAGCCUGGACCAGGAGGAGAGCUGGAGGUACAGCACCUCUCCAGAUGCAGGGGAAGGCCCGGCUCUUGGAGAGGCACAAGGGGGUCAAGACAGGGACAGACCCUUGGCCAGGUCCUUGGCACUUCCCCUGGAGCCCCAUUCUCACUUAUGCCAACGUCACCAAGAGACAGAGGCACCAGCCCUGGCCACCCCUUUGAAACAGGAUAUGAGGCAGAACUGCUAUUCUGUGUGUGACAUCAGGAGACUUGGCAGGGACCAUGUCGAAGGGGAUGGGUGUUAUCCACUGGAAGCUCUCUCCCUCACCUGGGAGGAUGAAGAGUACCUGACCGUCCACUGCUCAUCCAAAGGCCAGCUGUCCUGUGGAGACUGCUUGGAGCUAGACUCAGGGACCAUUCCAUUGCCACAGUUUUGUCUAGAGUCCUGGCCUCUGGAAGGGAGCCUGGAGAGUGAGAGUGAGUGGGAAGAUCUGGAGGAGCCCAAGGAUGCAAUGACAAUGCCCUCAGGUGGGUACUGCGUGGUCUGGGGGGAGUGAGGCUGAGCCCAGGAGGCUCUGUGUUUUCAGUUCAUUUGGGCUGGAGUGUCACCAAGUUUUCUGGUGGUUCCCUGGGGAAAUUACAGCAGCCAUUUUCACUGAGUGUGCUCAACGUGGCCCUUGUUCUAUGACAAUGAUUCUAUAAAGUAGGACUGUUAUUGCCCCCAUUUUACAUGGGAGAGGAAUUCAGCUGGUGGUCUUCCACUCCAGGGCUGCCUGGCUUGAGUGUGACCACACCCUUAUACCCUAGGCCCCUCUUCUGGGGGCUGCAGGUGCACAGCCCAUUCCUGUCAUAUCUGCUGCCAAUCCCCCAGGUGAGUACAUUUCUGAGAAGAGUCUUGUGUUGGCCAAUGGGGCCUUCUCACCGUGCCACAGUUCUAGGUGCAGAUCAGAAUCCAGAAAGUGCAAACUAUUAAUGCCAGGAGCCCCUGAGUCUGAGAUGGAGCCACCAGGCAGGGUGGGAGCACAAGAAGGGGGAUAGAGGGCAGCACAGACCUUGGCCCUGGAGUGGAUGAAGUUAACUAGCUUCUGUAGGCAAACGGCCAACAGUCUGGUAAAGCAUAAGGGGUAUAGUUGCAGAGCAAAAAUUGCUGACCGUUCAGGAAGCUUUCAUGUAACCCUAUUUAAAAGGCCCAUUGACAGUGACCUAGGCUUCUAUGUAUGAAGAUUCCAGGAUAAUUGCAACCUGUUUCCUCACUUUCAUCUCACGGUGUCCUAGCCACAGUUCCCUGGCUGUAUGAGAGGGAGUUCUGCCAUGGUAAGUUUCUUGGAGGAGGGUAGCAGGCAAGGUGAUAAGGAGGGUGGAUAUUUGAAAUUCAAAUAUGAUGUUAAAAGUGCAAGUUUUUGUCUGAAAUAGGAAGCAACAAGUUAAUAGGAUAAUUCCAAGGGGUUGAAGGCAGUGCUUUGCAUUUGUGGGGGAAGUCGGGACACUCUGACAAGGUUGGAAGGCACAUUAUGGAUUCACAAAACUGGGGAGUGGGGAGACCUUCCCAAUGGAAGGGUUUGGGAACUAAAAAAAGAAUGCUGGGCCCUCUCUGGCCACAAGAACUAAGGUCAGAGGCAGGAGCUAAGGACCACAGUGCCAGGCACAGAGCAGAGAAGCGGGGUCAGGCCAUUUGGGAAGAGGUGGGGCUCCAGCUCCAAGGCUGGUUCUACCUCCACUAGGUGGGUGACCUGUAGCAGUCUGUCCCCUGGAGACAAUCAGACCUGCCUCUUGCCGUUACUGUAAGGGUUAGGUGACAAUGUGUGCCAAGAGUUUAAAAAGUGCUAGCUAUUUUUUAUCACAAAUUUAAAGGGGGAAAUUGCUUCUGUGAGAUGAUGUCAACUUUUGAACGCAUUCAGUUGUGUUAAUUUUUUUCUAUGUAGACAAUGGAACUAGGCUUGUGUCCUGACAUGAGAUGUGGGAUGGGGAGAAAUUCCCAUGUACAGUGAGGGUGGCAGGGUCUGUGUGGACUGAUUAAGCCUCCUGUGGGUCAUGGCUUGGGAUGAGUCCUGUCAUACUCUCUUGUCCUGCACAAAAAGGAGAGCAGGUCACAUCCUCCCCUGAGGACAGAGAGUGGCCUGGAGGUGUUGAUGUUCCAGGCAUGAGCUCUUGGCCCGGGCUCCAUAGUGUGGUCCAUGCCACAUGCAUGCAGGGUUUCCCACAUCUAGACAUUUGUGCUUCUUUUGGAAAAAGCAGCUCUACACAUUCUUUACCUUCUCCAAAAGGCCCAUAGCCCUCAAAAGGUUAAGGACCCCUACUGUGUGCAUUCUCUCAUUCACGCUGGGAGUGGGGAGAGGUCUCAGAGGAGAUAAAGAGGACUUUGGUUAGGGAUGGCUUAGUGUAUCCUAUAAACUCUGUCUCAGUCAAUUUCCUUGUUGCUGAAGCAAAAUAUCCCACACCUGAAAGUUAAAGGAGGAGAGGCUUAUUUUGGCUCACAGUUUGUUCCAGUUUCUGUCAUAGCUGGCUCCCAGAUAGCACGCCAUGGCCGAGAGCAUGGCGGAGGAGAGCUGCUCAUGGCAUGGUGGACUGGGAGCAAAGUGAGUGAAGGAAGGAGCUUGGGAGAGAGAUAAACCCUUCCAGGUACAUUCCGGUGACCCACCUCUUCUGACCAGACCCCACCUCCUAACCAGUCAGCUCUAAGCCCCAUAAUCCAAUCACCUUCCAACACUUAUGAGCACAUGAGGGUUUGGGGGACAUUAUAGAUUUAAACCAUAAUAGACCUAUAUCCAAAUUAUUUUAUUUGAUCCUUUUAGACAUUAAGACAGUUACAGUAGGAAGUUAGUUUCUGGGAUUUAAUUCCUCACAUAAAUUUUGAAUGGUAUUUUUAUUUCUGUUUUAUAAAUGCUUUAGCAGGUUAUUUAAUUUGUUCAGGAUCAUACAGUGAGAACAAGGGAUUCAUCUAUAUCCGUACGACUAUACCUUUGGCACAUUUUUAUGUUUCUCAUACAAUGUGUCUUUUCAUGGCACUCUGUAUAAUCUAUAUGUCUUUCUACCAAAUGGCCUGAGGAUUACAUUUCUCUUUUAUGAGGCUAAAAAUAAAACAACAAUAAAAUAAGUAAAUAAAAAUAUCAAGCCCAUAGGUCAGUAAGGUUAUAAAAAAGGGACCGAACUGUUCAAUUUAGGGAAGGGUGCAGGCCAAAUGAUGAGGCUACCCACUAAAAGCUGUGCAUUGUUUCAGGUGAACAGAGUCCCAGCCAGUCUCGUGGAACAGGACCUCAGGAUUUCUGAGUGGUGAUCCCUUUGGCGGCAGAGGCCUCAAAUGACUGUGGUACAGAGAAUGUGCCCACCAGCUGUGUCACCAGGAAAGAUGAUGACCUGGGAUGGAGCGACUGGCCCAGGUGUUAAGGGCUAAUUCUAAAGGAGGACACCUGUCAUUCCUGGGACUCAUUUUGGACAGUUCCAGAAUUUCAAUCAAGGAAAGCUCUGUGUGUGUGUGUUGGGGUGGGGGUGGGCGCUUCUCCUGGAGAGAGGAGUUGGGAACCAACCUCUUCCAUCAAGGUACCUUGGGCAAGGGCCUGGUGCACACUUCCUGGAUAGAUGCAGCCUUCUGGUUUGCACUGUUUACUUCAUUUCCCUAUUCAUAGAAGGAGUUUAUAUAGUUCUCAAAGUGCCCCAGUUUGCUGGGAAAUACCUGCUAAGGGCUUUUGCCCAAAGCCCAUGGGGAAAGCAUGUUUUGGUAUCUUUCUGCACUCUUCCUAUGCAACCCAAACAGUUAUACAUUCCUUUAAAACAAUUUUUCUUUUGUACUUAACACAUUGUUCUAGUGAUUAUGUGAAGAAAAAAUAAGAUGAGAAUAUUAAGAAGAAUGAAGUAGUAGAUCCAGCUUGAUCAGAUCUUAAGACAGAUCACCACCAUCAUGAUAAAAAUUAAACCACAUGAAUGUGCAAAUGCACAAAAGAAAUAGACCUGGAAAAUACUUGGCACCAUGUGACAGGGGACAUAUGGCAGAGGCAAGAUCUCACAGGUACAACUAGGGGAGGGAGGGAGCAAGAGAAUGAGGGAGAGAGAGAGAGACAGAGAGAGAGAGUGACAGCGAGAGACAAAGACAGAGAGACAGAGGAGACAAAGACAGAGACAGAGAGACAGAGAAACACACACACACACAGAAGGAGACACCAAGGAAAGGAGACACCAACAGAGAAACCAGAUAGAAACAAAGUUUAAAAAAUCCUCUGCUCUAAAAUCUAAUUUAUGAACUACUUCGUUACGCGCUUUCAUUUCUAAUCUUCCUGUCCUCAUCAUGAUAGAAUAGUCUUGUAGGUUAUGACUUUUUCUAUUGUAAAUGAAAAGGGAAUUUCCUGGGAAGUGAAUAGUCUUGUUUCAGAUUCUCUCAAGCUUCAGUGCCUCACAAUUAGAGAAUUAAUCAAGAAUGCAAUGAAGUGAAUAAAUGACAUUAUUUACAACUUUGGAUUCUGGUUCCUUCUUUCCUCUUUGGAGAAGAAAUGAGGUUUAAAGAUUCAACUGAAAUGAGUCCCCCUCCUUGUAGGAAAAGAUUCCUC
rnacentral:lncRNA from 1 species